GACGAACCGUGCGAACGUUGUUCGGAAUCACUGGGCUUAAAGGGCGCGUAGGCGGGCCGGAUAGUCUGUGGUGAAAGCCUCCAGCUUAACUGGAGAAGUGCCAUGGAUACUGCCGGUCUGGAGGAAGGUAGGGGCAUCUGGAACGCUGGGUGGAGCGGUGAAAUGCGUUGAUAUCCAGCGGAACUCCGGUGGCGAAGGCGAGGUGCUGGACCUUUUCUGACGCUGAUGCGCGAAAGCCAGGGGAGCAAACGGG
rnacentral:rRNA from 1 species